rnacentral:rRNA from 1 species
UACGAAGGGGGCUAGCGUUGCUCGGAAUCACUGGGCGUAAAGCGCACGUAGGCGGCUUUCUAAGUCAGGGGUGAAAUCCUGGAGCUCAACUCCAGAACUGCCUUUGAUACUGGAGAGCUUGAGUCCGGAAGAGGUGAGUGGAACUCCGAGUGUAGAGGUGAAAUGCGUAGAGAUCCGGAGGAACACCGAAGGCGAAGGCAGUGUCCUGGCGCGUAACUGACGCUGAGGUGCGAAAGCCAGGGGAGCGAACGGG